GCCCCAUCUUCUCCACCACACACGUGUUUUUUUUUCUUUUAAUCUCUGUCGACAUGGGAUUAACAGGGUGGUCCUCUCUUCCUUCUUUCUCUCCUUUCUCUCUCUCCUUUCUCUCUCUCCUGCCUCUCCUCUCCCUCACGACUCACGCUCUCUGCGCCAUGGGGAAGCCCCGCCUCGGUGCCUGUCCGAUCCAACUCCGUGCAGGAGAAGGAGGAUGCCACGCCGUCGGGAGCAGCCGCCGUGGAGGACGUCUGGAGCUGUCGGGUCCCUGCACAUGGAUUGACUGCAUCGAAGGUGUAAUUUUUGUGCUGAUUUAGUGGGGAUCUUUCUGCUUAUUUAGCGAGGAUUGUGAAUACCACUUGGUACUGUGAUUGAGGAUUGAGAGGUACCUGGUACUCAACUGUAUAAUACCAUUUGUUUGACGUAGUUUAAUGUGCAUUUUAAUGCUAACGUACUAAGAUGUACGCCAUGUACUAGUCAUGUGUCUCGACGUAUUUGUGAUGUGCCUUGAUGUAUUUGCAUGUGUCUUGAUGUAUUUGUCAUGUAUCUUGAUGUGUCUCUGAUGUGUCUUGAUGUACUUGUCAUGUGCUUCGAUGUAUUUGUGAUGUGCCUUGAUGUACUUGUCAUGUACCUUGAUGUGUCUCUGAUGUGUGUUGAUGUACUUGUCAAGUAUCUGUCACGUACUGUGGUUUUUUUCUGAAAAAAAUGUGAUGUGCCAUAUGAUACAAUAGUCUCAUAAAUCCAUAUACACGAGGUACUUAAAAAGUGAUAAUGUACAUGUGAUGUACCAUACGAUGUACUCCUCUCCUAAGUUCAUGUAUACGAGAUAUUUGAAAACUGAUAAGGUACAGUUUAUUUAUCAUAAUGUACGAAAUAUGUAUUUCAAAACAUGUUGUGUACCACAAUGUACUUGAAAAUGGGACAGAGAUGCAUAGAACGAGAGAGAACCAGAUAAAAAUAAAAAGUUGUCACUAAAAAAAAAUACGUGACUGCCACAAGUACUAGUUCCCUGCUAAUCUCUCUGUGUCACAAGUACUAGUUUCCUGCUAAUCUCUCUGUAAUAUAUGACAAAAUAAAUUAAUUUGGUGGGUCUGAGGUGAAACAUGUGACUGGAAAGAUGGGCUAGAUAGUGGGGGUGUCAC
rnacentral:lncRNA from 1 species